UUAAGCGACUAAGCGUACACGGUGGAUGCCCUGGCAGUCAGAGGCGAUGAAGGGCGUGCUAAUCUGCGAUAAGCGCCGGUAAGGUGAUAUGAACCGUUAUAACCGGCGAUACCCGAAUGGGGAAACCCAGUGUGACUCGUCACACUAUCAUUAACUGAAUCCAUAGGUUAAUGAGGCGAACCGGGGGAACUGAAACAUCUAAGUACCCCGAGGAAAAGAAAUCAACCGAGAUUCCCUCAGUAGCGGCGAGCGAACGGGGAGGAGCCCAGAGCCUGAAUCAGCAUGUGUGUUAGUGGAAGCGUCUGGAAAGGCGCGCGAUACAGGGUGACAGCCCCGUACACAAAAGCGCAUAUGCUGUGAGCUCGAUGAGUAGGGCGGGACACGUGGUAUCCUGUCUGAAUAUGGGGGGACCAUCCUCCAAGGCUAAAUACUCCUGACUGACCGAUAGUGAACCAGUACCGUGAGGGAAAGGCGAAAAGAACCCCGGCGAGGGGAGUGAAAAAGAACCUGAAACCGUGUACGUACAAGCAGUGGGAGCACAGGUUUACCUGUGUGACUGCGUACCUUUUGUAUAAUGGGUCAGCGACUUAUAUUCUGUAGCAAGGUUAACCGUAUAGGGGAGCCGCAGGGAAACCGAGUCUUAACCGGGCGUUAAGUUGCAGGGUAUAGACCCGAAACCCGGUGAUCUAGCCAUGGGCAGGUUGAAGGUUGGGUAACACUAACUGGAGGACCGAACCGACUAAUGUUGAAAAAUUAGCGGAUGACCUGUGGCUGGGGGUGAAAGGCCAAUCAAACCGGGAGAUAGCUGGUUCUCCCCGAAAGCUAUUUAGGUAGCGCCUCGUGAAUUCAUCUCCGGGGGUAGAGCACUGUUUCGGCUAGGGGGCCAUCCCGGCUUACCAACCCGAUGCAAACUGCGAAUACCGGAGAAUGUUAUCACGGGAGACACACGGCGGGUGCUAACGUCCGUCGUGAAGAGGGAAACAACCCAGACCGCCAGCUAAGGUCCCAAAGUCAUGGUUAAGUGGGAAACGAUGUGGGAAGGCCCAGACAGCCAGGAUGUUGGCUUAGAAGCAGCCAUCAUUUAAAGAAAGCGUAAUAGCUCACUGGUCGAGUCGGCCUGCGCGGAAGAUGUAACGGGGCUAAACCAUGCACCGAAGCUGCGGCAGCGACGCUGAUGCGUUGUUGGGUAGGGGAGCGUUCUGUAAGCCUGCGAAGGUGGCCUGUGAGGGUUGCUGGAGGUAUCAGAAGUGCGAAUGCUGACAUAAGUAACGAUAAAGCGGGUGAAAAGCCCGCUCGCCGGAAGACCAAGGGUUCCUGUCCAACGUUAAUCGGGGCAGGGUGAGUCGACCCCUAAGGCGAGGCCGAAAGGCGUAGUCGAUGGGAAACGGGUUAAUAUUCCCGUACUUGGUGUUACUGCGAAGGGGGGACGGAGAAGGCUAUGUUGGCCGGGCGACGGUUGUCCCGGUUUAAGCGUGUAGGUGUGUGUUCCAGGUAAAUCCGGUUCACUUUAACACUGAGGCGUGACGACGAGGCACUACGGUGCUGAAGCAACAAAUGCCCUGCUUCCAGGAAAAGCCUCUAAGCAUCAGGUAACAUCAAAUCGUACCCCAAACCGACACAGGUGGUCAGGUAGAGAAUACCAAGGCGCUUGAGAGAACUCGGGUGAAGGAACUAGGCAAAAUGGUGCCGUAACUUCGGGAGAAGGCACGCUGACACGUAGGUGAAGUGAUUUACUCAUGGAGCUGAAGUCAGUCGAAGAUACCAGCUGGCUGCAACUGUUUAUUAAAAACACAGCACUGUGCAAACACGAAAGUGGACGUAUACGGUGUGACGCCUGCCCGGUGCCGGAAGGUUAAUUGAUGGGGUCAGCGCAAGCGAAGCUCCUGAUCGAAGCCCCGGUAAACGGCGGCCGUAACUAUAACGGUCCUAAGGUAGCGAAAUUCCUUGUCGGGUAAGUUCCGACCUGCACGAAUGGCGUAAUGAUGGCCAGGCUGUCUCCACCCGAGACUCAGUGAAAUUGAACUCGCUGUGAAGAUGCAGUGUACCCGCGGCAAGACGGAAAGACCCCGUGAACCUUUACUAUAGCUUGACACUGAACAUUGAGCCUUGAUGUGUAGGAUAGGUGGGAGGCUUUGAAGUGUGGACGCCAGUCUGCAUGGAGCCGACCUUGAAAUACCACCCUUUAAUGUUUGAUGUUCUAACGUAGACCCGUGAUCCGGGUUGCGGACAGUGUCUGGUGGGUAGUUUGACUGGGGCGGUCUCCUCCUAAAGAGUAACGGAGGAGCACGAAGGUUGGCUAAUCCUGGUCGGACAUCAGGAGGUUAGUGCAAUGGCAUAAGCCAGCUUGACUGCGAGCGUGACGGCGCGAGCAGGUGCGAAAGCAGGUCAUAGUGAUCCGGUGGUUCUGAAUGGAAGGGCCAUCGCUCAACGGAUAAAAGGUACUCCGGGGAUAACAGGCUGAUACCGCCCAAGAGUUCAUAUCGACGGCGGUGUUUGGCACCUCGAUGUCGGCUCAUCACAUCCUGGGGCUGAAGUAGGUCCCAAGGGUAUGGCUGUUCGCCAUUUAAAGUGGUACGCGAGCUGGGUUUAGAACGUCGUGAGACAGUUCGGUCCCUAUCUGCCGUGGGCGCUGGAGAACUGAGGGGGGCUGCUCCUAGUACGAGAGGACCGGAGUGGACGCAUCACUGGUGUUCGGGUUGUCAUGCCAAUGGCACUGCCCGGUAGCUAAAUGCGGAAGAGAUAAGUGCUGAAAGCAUCUAAGCACGAAACUUGCCCCGAGAUGAGUUCUCCCUGAGACUUAAAGUCUCCUGAAGGAACGUUGAAGACGACGACGUUGAUAGGCCGGGUGUGUAAGCGCAGCGAUGCGUUGAGCUAACCGGUACUAAUGAACCGUGAGGCUUAACCUU
rnacentral:rRNA from 1 species